rnacentral:rRNA from 1 species
CCUACGGGAGGCAGCAGUGAGGAAUAUUGGUCAAUGGACGAGAGUCUGAACCAGCCAAGUAGCGUGAAGGAUGACUGCCCUAUGGGUUGUAAACUUCUUUUAUAUGGGAAUAAAAUGUUCCACGUGUGGGAUUUUGUAUGUACCCUAUGAAUAAGGAUCGGCUAACUCCGUGCCAGCAGCCGCGGGAAUACGGAGGAUCCGAGCGUUAUCCGGAUUUAUUGGGUUUAAAGGGAGCGUAGGUGGAUUGUUAAGUCAGUUGUGAAAGUUUGCGGCUCAACCGUAAAAUUGCAUGUGAACCUGGCAGUCUUGAGUACAGUAGAGGUGGGCGGAAUUCGUGGUGUAGCGGUGAAAUGCUUAGAUAUUACGAAGAACUCCGAUUGCGAAGGCAGCUCACUGGACUGCAACUGACACUGAGGCUCGAAAGUGGGGGUAGCAAACAGGAUUAGAUACCCCUGUAGUC